CGGACGGGUGAGUAACGCGUAAAGAACUUGCCCUUUAGACUGGGAUAACAGAGGGAAACUUCUGAUAAUACUGGAUAAGUCAGUAUAUCGCAUGAUAUGCAAAUGAAAGCUACGGCACUAAAGGAGAGCUUUGCGUCCUAUUAGCUAGUUGGUAAGGUAAGAGCUUACCAAGGCGAUGAUAGGUAGCCGGCCUGAGAGGGUGGACGGCCACAAGGGGACUGAGAUACGGCCCUUACUCCUACGGGAGGCAGCAGAU
rnacentral:rRNA from 1 species